rnacentral:rRNA from 1 species
AUGAACGCUGGCGGCGUGCCUAAUACAUGCCAGUCGCGCGAACAGACGAGGAGCUUGCUCCUCUGACGUUAGCGGCGGACGGGUGAGUAACACGUGGAUAACCUACCUAUAAGACUGGGAUAACUUCGGGAAACCGGAGCUAAUACCGGAUAAUAUAUUGAACCGCAUGGUUCAAUAGUGAAAGACGGUUUUGCUGUCACUUAUAGAUGGAUCCGCGCCGCAUUAGCUAGUUGGUAAGGUAACGGCUUACCAAGGCAACGAUGCGUAGCCGACCUGAGAGGGUGAUCGGCCACACUGGAACUGAGACACGGUCCAGACUCCUACGGGAGGCAGCAGUGGGGAAUCUUCCGCAAUGGGCGAAAGCCUGACGGAGCAACGCCGCGUGAGUGAUGAAGGUCUUCGGAUCGUAAAACUCUGUUAUUAGGGAAGAACAAAUGUGUAAGUAACUAUGCACGUCUUGACGGUACCUAAUCAGAAAGCCACGGCUAACUACGUG